CCAAGGUUUCCGUAGGGGAACCUUGCGGAA
rnacentral:rRNA from 1 species